rnacentral:rRNA from 1 species
CCCUUAGAUGUUCUGGGCCGCACGCGCGCUACACUGACGAAGUCAGCGAGCAUCCCCUACGCCGAAAGGUGCGGGGAAUCUUGUGAAACUUUGUCGUGCUGGGGAUUGAUUUUUGAAAUUCUUGAUCAUCAACGAGGAAUUCCUAGUAAGCGCAAGUCAGCAGCUUGCGUUGAUUACGUCCCUGCCCUUUGUACACACCGCCCGUCGCUACUACCGAUUGAAUGGUUUAGUGAGAUUUUUGGACUGGAACUCUCUUGUUCAGCAAUGAACGAGAGGGACUCUGGGAAGCUAUUCUAACUGUAUCAUUUAGAGGAAGUAAAAGGCGUAACA